UUAAUACAUGUGUACAUGAAAGCUUGUAACUCACUCAUCAGGAAUUGCGUAUAACAGUUUAAAAAUAGCGUGUGAAAAUUUAAAAAAAAGUUAUCUAAUCCAUGCAAGGGUUUAUAUCAUAAAAAUCCUUGUCUAACCUAAAGAUAAUGGUGUAAAUGUGAAGUGACGGAAAUUAUUCAUAACGGAAUAGUUUUAAGAUGAACUACAAUAAACAGUUGAAGUGAUCAUUUUAGUUCAUUCGGAUAAUGAUAAAAUAUUCGAUUGCCAGUAUAAAAAGGAACUUAUAUGCUAAUUCGUAUUUUAUUUGAAUUUACAGGACAAGAUGGUGGCAACUUCGGACAAAGUAUAUACAGCUUUAUACGUACUUAUAAUGAUACUAGUCAUAAUGGUGAAUUUGACAGUGCUAUGCUUUAUCAUUUACAGAAGUGUUAAAAAAUCUUCAAAUAAUAUUUUAUUAUCGUCCCUUUGUAUUGCGGACCUGUUGUGUUGGUAUUUUUGUCAUACCAAAUCAGAUUUUCAUUGUCUCAACCAUAUUAGAAUGGAGCCCUAUUAUGUGUAAGAUGUGCCUUUACAUGGAAUUCACUGCGGCAUUUGCAAGUGCAAUGACCUUGACCUGUAUUGCAAUCGAUCGUUUCCGGGCGAUUAUCUCCCCAAUCAAAUACAAACAAACAAAAGAAAAAGUGUCAAAAAUAACGGCCGUCAUUGUAUGGAUUUCUGCCUUUCUCUACUCGUUCAGGGCUUUGUUUGUGUAUGACGUAAUUGAAGCUGAGAUUACAAUGGAUAAUGUGACAUUUAUUGAAAAAAGGUGCAUCGUACCGAUCAACAUUCAACCGUAUCACAACGCUUUGAUUAUAACUGAUUUUAUUCUGUUAUUUGGAGUUGCCGGGAAUUGUAUUAUUUGUCACAAAUAUCGUAGUUUCAGUAUAUCUUAAUAAACGAAAACUGUCAAACUCCGAUCAGAUGACCCAAAAAAGACAAAAGGCUAUCCGUUUGCUUAUUGCAAUGGUCGCAAUUUUUGUCACGUGUCAUUUGCCGUUAUUUGUUAUAAGACUCCGUAUGUUAACACACAAAGUCGAAAACGGAAUUAUUUGGAUUCGAUCUUUUCUCGUGUUGUCUUUCAUUAACAGUUUUAUCAAUGUCUUUUUCUACAGUUCGCUCAAUGAAGAUGUAAAUAAUUUAAGAAAUAUGAUCUUGAAUAGAAUUUGCUUUGCUGGCCAGGAACGUAUGACCUCAACCGUGCAUCCGCUAACGGCGUCUGUAAUAAACUUGACUUAGAGUUCCCAUUUGACCUCAUAGGUGUUCUAUAAAACAUAAGAGAAAAGACCUGACAGUUAUUACAAACAUAAACAACGAUCCUAGUGCCUUCGACUAGUGUUGUAAAACGAUAUUUUGUUAUCUGAAGGUGGAAUACCAGAGUACCAUUACGAAACAUGUCUAAUUAAAAUACUAAAGUAACACUUAUCUAUAGAAAUUGGAACUGUUACAGUACAUAACAAUUCAACUACAUAUACGAGCUGAGUAAUCAGAGAGAACUAACUGCAUUAGAACACGGAACACCAGAGAACAAUUCUAAUAUGUGUUUCAUUAGAAUAAAAACCAAAUUAUAACUAUUUCGGAACACUAGGUAAUAAUCUAACGUCACGAAUACUGAAAACGACAAGGGCCGUACAAUAACCUAAAGUUGUUAGUUUCUGUGCCAAUACUAUUAUACACAUCUCCUUAUUUUUAUAAAGCGAGUGAAAUUUCUCUUAUGAAUUAUAAAUUCGAAUUGAAAGGUUAAACUAUGAUAUAUGAAUUGUUUCCCUAUCGGAAAAACACUUUCCCAAUCAGAGAUUUAUAUCUAAAUAGUUUGCAUCCUGUAUUGUCCGAAAGGGAAAUUAAACUAGAAAUAAAAAUUCCCCAAAUAUAAGUGAAU
rnacentral:lncRNA from 1 species